rnacentral:lncRNA from 1 species
UUCACACAGAAGAAAAGACGAUCCGUCGGAGUAAUACACUCACCAGGAACAGAGACUCUAACAGGACUCUCAUUGGGGAUUCUUAUAGGGGAUAAUAAAAGAAAAAAGAAAAAAAAAAGAAUGCGUGAGCAUGUCACGACUCGAGUUGGGGAAAACAAAACUGACAUAAUGUGUGCAAGACACGACUCUGAUUAGGGGAUAACAGAAAUC